UCCAUCAUGAAGCGCAGUUAUCAGUGUCUCAUUUCUUCAUACCCUUCCCAAGCCCAUUGAUAAUUUUCAGGAACAUAACAUGUUACUAUAGGAGAGCUUGGGAUCCAGCUGACUGAAUGUUUACAGAUGACUUGAUGAGACCCAAGAAUGUGGCCCUUAUGCCCGUGGAAGCUUUUAAUUGCCUCUUUUGGAAACUAGUUUUGAUUCUUCAUAAUCACGUCUGUUUGAGGACACAGACGAUCAAUGAUCCAUCCAGGAAAGAGCCUGCCCACUUGACUCUUCUACCUGUAGCCUCUCCAGAAUACUGGAUGUAAAAGGAGAUCUUCACGGGUUAAAAAAGUUAAGUAAAAACCUUGCGCCUAUGUGAAGGUAUUAUAUUGAUUUACAUAACACUGUAGAAGGUCUAUACAUGCUAAACCUCUUUUCAUUGUGACAUUCUUGGAGCCUGUUAUUCUUUUACUUCAGCUAUCUAAAGAAUGGAAUCGUGGAAUAGU